rnacentral:rRNA from 1 species
AACGGACGCUGGCGGCAUGCCUAACACAUGCAAGUCGAACGAGACCUUCGGGUCUAGUGGCGCACGGGUGCGUAACGCGUGGGAACCUGCCCUUAGGUUCGGAAUAACUCCCCGAAAGGGGUGCUAAUACCGGAUAAUGUCUUCGGACCAAAGAUUUAUCGCCUUUGGAUGGGCCCGCGUUGGAUUAGCUAGUUGGUAGGGUAAAAGCCUACCAAGGCGACGAUCCAUAGCUGGUCUGAGAGGAUGAUCAGCCACACUGGGACUGAGACACGGCCCAGACUCCUACGGGAGGCAGCAGUGGGGAAUACUGGACAAUGGGCGAAAGCCUGAUCCAGCAAUGCCGCGUGAGUGAUGAAGGCCUUAGGGUUGUAAAGCUCUUUUACCCGGGAUGAUAAUGACAGUACCGGGAGAAUAAGCUCCGGCUAACUCCGUG